CGCACAAAAGUAUUGUGUUCUGAACACAUUACUGUAAAGUGUUUACUGUUUGAAUUUGAAAUUCAAAUUUAAAUAAAUGCAUGCUAUAUAUCAUAUUUAGAUCCUAGUGUAGGAUAAAUUCAUGUUAAUUAAUUAGAUUAAUUAAUAUUUUUUUACUAUAAAAUCAUAAUUUUGAAAAAGUUUUAAAAUUAUCAUUUUACCCCUGCACUGAAUUUU
rnacentral:lncRNA from 1 species